GACGAACGCUGGCGGCGUGCUUCAUGCAUGCAAGUCGAACGAGAACCUCACAGUGGGUAACCACAGUGGGGUAUCUAGUGGCGAACGGGUGCGUAACACGUGAGAAACCUGCCCCGGAGAUCGGGAUAGCCCAGGGAAACCUGGAUUAAUACCGAAUACCCUCCUACCGUCGCAUGUCGGAUUGAGGAAAUGGUCCGCUGCUCCGGGAUGGUCUCGCGGCCUAUCAGCUAGUUGGUGAGGUAACGGCUCACCAAGGCAACGACGGGUAGCUGGUCUGAGAGGACGGUCAGCCACACUGGGACUGAGACACGGCCCAGACUCCUACGGGAGGCAGCAGCAGGGAAUAUUGCACAAUGGGCGAAAGCCUGAUGCAGCGACGCCGCGUGAGGGAUGAAGGCCUUCGGGUUGCAAACCUCUUUCAGGAGGGAAGAAGCGAAAGUGACGGUACCUCCAGAAGAAGACCCGGCCAACUACGUG
rnacentral:rRNA from 1 species